rnacentral:tRNA from 1 species
AUUUCCUUAGUAUUAAGCAGUACAAGUGACUUCCAAUCACACAGUCCUGGUUAAAAUCCAGGGGGAAAUA